UGCUCCUGUCUUCUGCUCCUCUAGUGAGCCAUUCCUCUCCCUUGGAAUUCAUCAGAGUCAUCCCUGUAGAGCCCCCUUCCUGCCUCUCAAUGCCUCCUGCCUCACUUCCCAGGCUACCGCUGCUUCAAGACAGUGACGUUUCUCUCCGGUCAGCUGUCAGGAGCGCUGAUGAGCUUCCUACUGUGCCACAAGGUGCGGGUGCUGGAGACACAGCUGAGCCUGGAAAUGAGAGUGGGCAUCGCCGUGGUCAUCAUGACUCCUCUGUGGUGUGGUCACCAUGUUGGUUCACUGUGUUGGGCUCUUAUUGACUGGUCUCCUGCUAGGCCUGACCUUGGGUGCCAGAGCCCUGCUGGCUUCUGAGCCUAUCUACCAACCACCUUCAGCCUGGGUGCCAGCUGGGGGGCUGGUGGGGCUGGCACUGCUGGGAGCCCUGCUCACACUUCGGUGGCCACGUCCAUUCACAGUUCUGGGCACAGCCCUGCUGGGUUCUGCAGUGCUUGUGGCCUGUGUUGACUACUUCCUGGAGGGGCUGGCACUGGGCAGUCGGCUGGGCCAACGCCUGCAGACACUUCCAGCCUUGCCUUCUCUCUGCUGAUAUAGCUGGGUCUUACUGGGGAUCUGGCCAGCCUUGGGGACCCUUGGGGCCCUGGCCCAGUGGAAGCUUGUGCCUGAGGAACAUGGAGGCCACGCCAAUGAGUUACUUCCAGAGUCUUCAAGAGUGCCAACUGGGACCAGGACCCCAGGCCACAGCCCCCCACACCGUCCUGGACCUGGAUUCUGACUGUGGUUCCACUGUACCCCUCACCUUAAUCUCUGGUUCUAACCAGACCUGAGCCUAGACUUCCACUUUUUCCUUCACCCCUGUGAGGGCCUGGGAACACUAGGUGGGCAGGGUUUGAGCCCACAGGACCUGCACACAAACUUCCCCACCUCUUGGACUUGGGGACAGGAUCUGUGCCUCAACCCAGACCAGCCUUGUAGGGAUAUGUUCCAAGAAUAGAGAAGAGUCUUAUGGGGAAGGGGGAGGAAGGGAAGUAUGAAUAUUUACCUCUGACCAAUAAUAGAGGUGCCCUGGUCCCCAAAGAAACUGACUCCCGAAUUCCCUCCAAGCCUUACCCAUAUAGCUUUUUUUUUUUUUUUUUGAGACAAGGUCUUGUUCUGUCCAGUACCGUGGCGUGAUCACAGCUCAUGACAACUUUGAUUUCCCCGGCCCAAGCGAGCCUUUCAUUCAGCCUCCUGAGUGGCUGGGACCACAGACGCCACACACAGCUAAUUUUUAUUUGUUCGUUUUUAUUUUUUUUGCAGAGACAGGGUCUCCCUGUGUUGCCCAAGCUGGUCUUGAACUCCUGGGCUCAAGUGAUCCUCCUGCUUCAGCCUCCCAAAGUGCUAGGAUUACAGCCACCGCACCUGGUCUUGAAAUAGCCUUUUAAAUAUCUACCUCAGUGCCUCACAGUGGGUCUGUUCCUGGUUUCCCAGAUGCAUAAAGGAAGACAUAUCCGUCCCCUGGGCAGCAAGGCUACAAUGGGAGGGAGGGAGGGAGAACAUGGGAGCCUGUGAAUAAAAUGGCAUUAAAUACUGAA
rnacentral:sRNA from 1 species